GUAAAACACGACACAAAUACACAAGGAAAAGCCAGUGUGCCUAGAUCAUCAAUAAGUACACAACGUUAAAGUAAAAGUAACAUUAUUCGCCAUUGCUAUUACAACAGUAAGAAUGUCUACAUUAAACGACUGGGCGUUGAAAUAUUUUAUGUCUGAACAUUUUCAAGCAAAAUGUACAAUCUGUGCAUACACUCUUACAUAUCGCGAUGUGCAACCCGUCCGUGAUCAUUUCAACCAACAACAUUCAAAUAUAAAACAAAAGUAUGUUAUUUGGACAGAGCAUUUUAAAAGUAAUAGCUAUUCAUACUGGAAAUGCAUUUAUUGUUCGCAAACUUAUUGGAAGAUAACAUUGAUCAACAAAUUAAAUGGACAUUUGCACUCUGUGCAUAAUAUAUGUCCAUUAAUAAAACUCCCAUAUUAUAUGGGCUCUAUAGAGAAGCAUAUGAAACGGCGUGAUGAUAAUAGCGCGCAGUGUAUAAUAUGUGAUCAGAUUAUAGAGUUUAGCCUUUCCUGUACUAAAAAAAAACACAUGUUCAAAUAUCAUAUAAACAUAUGGAUAAACGAAGAAGAGAAUGCAAAUAAACAAUCAGAAAUCAAUAUGUCUGGACUAUCGAUAAGUGCACGAUAACUUUAAAGGCAAAAACAAUGAACAAAUUUUGAUAACGUUUCUACAUUCAAAAAGAUACUACGGUUCUACGGUUCUACAUACGAUCACAGCGAAAACAGCAAUCUCGACUUUGAUGAAUUAAAUGAUUUAAAAUAUCUGAGGAAAACUGC